AACGAACGCUGGCGGCAGGCUUAACACAUGCAAGUCGAACGCCCCGCAAGGGGAGUGGCAGACGGGUGAGUAACGCGUGGGAACAUACCCUUUCCUGCGGAAUAGCUCCGGGAAACUGGAAUUAAUACCGCAUACGCCCUACGGGGGAAAGAUUUAUCGGGGAAGGAUUGGCCCGCGUUGGAUUAGCGAGUUGGUGGGGUAAAGGCCUACCAAGGCGACGAUCCAUAGCUGGUCUGAGAGGAUGAUCAGCCACAUUGGGACUGAGACACGGCCCACACUCCUACGGGGAGCAGCAGUGGGGAAUAUUGGGCGAUGGGCGCAAGCCUGGUCCAGCCAUGCCGCGUGAGUGAUGAAGGCCUUAGGGUUGUAAAGCUCUUUCACCGAUGAAGAUAAUGACGGUAGUCGGAGAAGAAGCCCCGGCUAACUUCGUG
rnacentral:rRNA from 1 species